AAAAUUAACAUUAUAUAUGAAUAAUCAUGCAUGAUGACAGGGUUUUGCAGAACAAUCUUCAUAUGGUCACAUUAUUGAUGAUAUCCUCCAUGAUUCGUCCCAGCUAAGUUUUAGAGUUAUUGGUACAUCCGCUGAUGGGAGGGAAUUGUUGGAGGCAUUGAAGGAUGUUGAAGACCAUUUUAUCAGAGCUUAAGAUUCUGGUUUGGAAGUUUCUAGGAUGCUGGAGGCCAAUAGAUUUCCAAUGUUGUCUGGUUUGGAGGAAAUAAAAGUCUUGAAGGUGAUUCGUCAGAUUGAGAAAUGCACCAGAUUGCGGGAAUGAUCAUCUACUAACACUUCCGAAAGGGUCAUUGAAUGAUCACUGGGUAUCAGUGACUUCUAGAAGUGAGGAGUAUUGUCUUAAACAUAUGCAUAGAAAUCAGUAUGAAGAAAGUCUAUUCAGAUGAGAAGAUGAUAGGUAAAAGACUUGAUAGAAGCCUUCAUCAGUUGUGAAUUUUCUUGCUAUUUGUUAAUAUUUAAUUUAAUAAGGUUUUUUUUGUGUGUUUCUUUAUAUCUUCAUUUGACUUUUAUGGCGCUAACAUGUUAUUCUAGUUGAUUAGGAGUUUAAAGAUAAGGUUUUGAGAUCUGAUGUAGUUUUUUCAUGGCGCUUACUGAUUAUUCCAUUUUCUUUGUAAUACAUUAUCAGCUAUUGGCAAUUAUGAGAUUGAUUUUUCCCUCUCUAGAGUGGAGCUUGAUAA